AGAUACACGAUUAUCUGUUGGAGCCAGUGGAGCUCUGCUCUCUCGAAUUCAUAAGAAAGAGGGAUGAGAAUGUUCUGAGAUGCCACACCCAGAGAGCCUCCAGCCCUCCUCCACCUGUCUCCUGCUCCUUCCGUAGAAGACGGACCACUUUGAGGUCACUUUGGAUUUUCAUCUGAUCUUUCCAGCAAAAUGGCCCAGGAGUCAAGGGCACCCUAUCUGUCUUUCCCAUCCUUCUGCGUUGUUUGUUUCUUGUUCCUCGGCCUUCCACGCCCCUACCACCCACCGUUAACUUUGAAUUAGUAGGAAAAAACCCUCAAGAGAAAUAGAGAGACUUCUGGUCUUUUUUUUUUUUUUUUUUUUUUUUUAGUCCUAAAAAGUAUCUGUGUUUUGCUUGACUCCAGCCCAACCUAUCUCUGUGAUACCAAAGAGCCCAAUAAAUGUCUGUUGAACAAAUGAAGGGAGGAAGCAGAGAAGGAAUGAUGUGCAUCUUGGGGUGCCUGGGGUAUUUGGAAAGACACGGCAAGUCUAAGCAGGAUGGAGUAGUGGGACCCAGGUACAGAUCAGGGGGGCUUUGAAGUCUCCACACAUCUACCUUUGAAAAUUAAAUGACAUCUAACCUUGGUCAGCAUGUGGAAGGACACUUUUUGUUCAAAAAAGAAAAACGGUCCAGUACACUGUGAUAAGACCAUUUCCUCUCUCUCAGCGUCUCCUUUAAUGUCAGGUCUGAAAUAUGAAGUCAUUAGGGGAUAUUAAAACAGUGCUGACAAACUAAUUAACAAAAGACAUUACGCCGGAUGGGCUCAAUUUAUCCUUUUUAAUGGUUCUUAUAAAUGGGUACCGCCAAUUAAAAUUAAUAAAGAUUUACCAGCGAUUGCCCGGUGUACAUUGCUAAGAAGCACCGCUGAAGGUCGCCUUAAAGUCAGCUUUGUCAAAGCGGCGAGUUCAGCUCUGCAGUGCCAGCCCCAAUGAGUCCCCGGCUUUGUUGUUUGACCUGAUGCUUCUCAUUCUUAAUCCACUUCCCUCACUCCACCAACAUCUCCACACUGUCCCAGAUAGAGAUGCUCAACACUUCAACACAUACAGGAAACACACAAGACCCCCAGGUUGACAGCAGCCAUCUGAUUUGUAACUAUCACGUGUGCAAAAUGGCUUCCUGGUAGAGCCUAGUUUUUUGAGGAUCUGACAUCACAUCCAUUGUCGCAGUUUGGCUGGUUUGAAACUUUCCCAAUGUCUUUGGAUGCUUGGGAGAGACCCAUCAGUGGCCACGCCUCUACCGAUGUCCGGAAGUAUGGAUCUGAGAAUGCCACCAGAUAGUUGUCUCUAAGUAGGUUUGGUUGGAGUUCAGAAAGGGUGGGAAUGGCCACCAUCAGAAACCCUUCUGGGCACCUGCUUUAAAAGUGCAAGUUGGACUGGCAAGAUGACAGUGAAGUGCUUGCCGUAUAAACACGAGUACCUGAGGCUGAUCCCCGGAACCUAUGUAAAAAGGCUGGAUAUGGUAGACUCACAUGUUUGUAAUCCCAGGCCUGGGGGAGACGGGUAUAGGGAUAUCCCUCGGAUUUAGUAGCCAGCCAACCAUCCUAACCAUCUUGGUGAACUCCACGUCAGUGAGAGGUUUGUUUAAAAAACAAACCAAGGCAGUAGCCUCCUGAGGCAUCACACCUGAGGGUGACCCCUGGGCUCCACCUACAUCUCACGUAAGCACGGGUCAGUGCAGCCCCUCCCCCACCUCUGGGCGCCAAAGGAACAUUGCAGCAUCUCAUGUGAGCACAAGUCAGCGCACUCUCCCCACUCCUCACGCACGCACGCACGCACGCACGCACGCACGCACGCACGCACGCACGCACGUCCUCCAUAACCACCGUUUAGAUAUUUCCUUCUCUUCUUUCCUUCCUUGCUUUCUUGCUUUCUUCCUUUUGAGACGGGGUCUUAUGAAGCCCAGGCUGAUCUGGAACUUACUGUGUAGCCAAUUCUGGCUUUGAAAUCCCGAUCCUUCCGCCUCUUUCUCCCGAGUGCUGGAAUUUCAAGCACCGUCAUAUGUCGCUUCCUUUUCGUUUUAGUGUUUCCCCUUGUGUGUGUAGAUAUACUAUGUGCAUGUCUGGUGUCCGUGGAGGCUAGAAAAACGUGUCAUAUCCUGCAGAGCUGCAGGCAGUUGGGAGUGACCAUGUGAGUGCUGGGAACCAAACCCCGGUCCCCCACAAGAGCACCACAUGCUUCCUUAGCCAUCAUUCCAGCCCGUGUGAUUUCUUCCUCCUUUCUCUCUUUUAAAGAUUUAUUUAUUUUAUAUACAUGAGUACACCGUUUCAGUCUUCAGACACACCAGAAGAGGGCACCAGAUCCCAUUGCAGAUGGUUGUGAGCCACCAUGUGGUUGCUGGGAUUUGAACUCAGGACCUCUGGAAGAGCAGUCAGUGCUCUUAACCACUGAGCCAUCUCUCCAAGCUCCCUCAAUUUCUUUCUCAAAGUAAAAGAUUAUUGCUUGUUUAUUUGGGACUCUUUCCCAGUGGGAUCUCUUCUGUUCAAAGCUUUGGGUAUUGCAGGGUUAGAGACCAGGUCAUCACCCAGAAAGAAAGCUCUUGAAGGUGGAAGCCAUGAAGUUGCAACCCAAGGACCCUGAACACCAGAGCAGCCACAGUGUGCUUUAAAGAUACCACAGGCCCCAUCCCCCUCAGCUUGAAGCUCCCAGAACAGGAGUCACUUGAAGGUCCCAUGCUAGGUCUUGAGCUCGGCUUCAGAGAACCCCAUUUUAAUGAUACUUCCCAGCUUCUUUGAUUCAGACUUUCUGGAUUCAGACCAACUAUGUGACAUCCAAGCUCUUGAAGCAUAGGACUGGCAACUCACCAGUGAAUAAAUAGGGCAGGCAGGGGUAUACGCCUCCUCAGAUUUCGCCAGUGAGCCGGCUAACUUGUGCAUUACCUUGGUUGGAAUCCAGAUAACUGGUCAGAUAUUGUUCUGUGAAGGUGCUUUCAGCUGAGAAUCUGAAAGCUGAGUGAAGUCAACUGCCCUACGCCAUAUUUCAGUCAGUUGAUGGUGUGAAUAGAACCAAAGGUGACCUUUCCACGAGAGACGAGGAAUUCCUGCGCAUGAUGACAGUUGGGCUUGGCAGUGCUGACUCCUUACAAGUCUAUGAUGUAUGUAUGUAUGUAUGUAUGUAUGUAUGUAUGUAUGUAUGUAUGUAUGUGCCUACCCACCUACUUAUCAUCUGUCUGUCUGUCUGUCUGUCUGUCUGUCUGUCUGUCUUCUUCUGUUGGUUCUAUUUCUCUUGAGGACCCUGAAUAACACACAAGGGUCCAACAACAGUCACCUGUUGAAAAUAUGGGGGUGGGUGGGUAAUAUUGCCCUGAUUCUUGGUCUAUGUGACUGGAAGGAAGUUGGAUUUGCUGAAAGAGCUUCAGAGAAACUCAAUCUCUCCAGUUUCUCCAGAAAAGGAUAGGAUCUGGACGAGGCACAUUUACCUUAAGAAUGAGAAAAGUAGGGGUUGGGGAUUUAGCUCAGUGGUAGAGCGCUUGCCUAGCAAGCUCAAGGCCCUAGGUUUGGUCCCCAGCUCCUAAAAAAAGAAAAGAAAAAAAAAAGAAUGAGAAAAGUAUCAGCACACAGCAAGGUCUGCUACUUCUAGACCUUCCAGGGUUGGAGAAGCUACAGCUAGCUGGGCCGUGUCUGUAAAACUUGGGUUGCACUGAGAAGAGAACUGUCAUAGAGAGGGGGAGACUGGCCCAUUCUCACCUCGGAGGGUCACCAGGUGGGAUCCCCCUAGCACAUCAGUUCUCCCUCCUCACCUAAUCUCCAACUCUAUGUGGCAGAGUGGGAAAAGGACAAGGUAGGCAUUCUGUCACAGAGCUGUGAAGGCCAUGGAAAACGGUCUAAGGCAAUGAAUUAUGGGUAAUGUGACCUCCAGAGAGCUUGCCUCCCAAUGGGCAUUAACCAUACUCUUAACCGUGCGUUUUAUUGUUCCCCUUCUAGCACACACAGCAAGUUACUUGUGUGAAGUACUUUUGAAACAACAGAGCGAGAGUAAAUGGGCCCAUGAGUUUCUUUUAUCUGAAGCUGGGACACAAACACUGUUUGAAGGCCAGAGGGGCAGAGUCCCUGGAACAGCCUGAGGAUAGUUUCAGAGGGAAACGGAUCCCGGCAAUUCCUUCAGCCUAUCUAACCCUUUAACAUUUUUUAAAAAUUUAUGAGUGUGUGUGUGUGUGUGUGUGUGUGUGUGUGUGUGUAUGCACACACAUGCAUUUACACAUGCACACAUGUAACUGCAUGCAUGCAUGCAUGCCACAACAUGCAUGUGAAGGUCAGAGGACAACUUGGAGGAGUUGUUCUUCCUUCUACUGUGUCAUCCCUUGGGACUGAACUCAAGUAAUUUAUCAUUAGUAGUAGUAGUCAGUCAACCAUCCUAACUAUCUUGGUGAACUCCAGGUCAGUGAGAGGUUUGUUUAAAAAACAAACCAAGGGGGCGGGGAUCAAAAACAAAACAAAACAAAACAAAACAAAACAAAACAAACCAAGGCAGUAGACUCCUGAGCCAUCACACCUGAGGGUGACCUCUGGGCUCCACCUACGUCUCACAUAAGCACGGGUCAGUGUAGCCCACCCCCACCCACCAAAGCUUGGCCACAGGAGCCUUUAACCACUUAAGCUAUGUCAUGGCCUCCACACACCAACACUUUCUGAAAAAUAAACUUAAAAAAAUAUCAGGGCUUUAUGAUGCUCAGGCUGGACUAAAACUUGCUUAUAGCUAAAGCUAGUCUUGCCCUCAGAAUCUCCCACUCCCACCCUCUCAGUGCUGUGAUUACAGGCAUGAAUUAGAAACUGUGUGUCUUAUAUUAGUAGCCAAGCCUGUCCUUUGGCCCCUAGAUCAGUAACUUUUCUUGGCAGCUGGACUGCACAGCUGGGACUUCUCCCAUCCUCACAGUUUUGCUGACAGGAAGUAGAGAAUCCCAGGAUCAACUAAAGCUCAGCCCCUCCCCAGGAUCCAGAGCAAUGCAUUCUCACCACCAUUUGGCCCAGUCUCUAUUCCCUCUUUAUGGUACAGAUGAAGAAACCAAGGCUCAGAAAGCUGAGCUGAUAAACCCGAAAGCCAAGGAACGGCAGGGCCAGAAUUCGAAGGCAGAUGCAUGUGUUCCCAAAGUGUGCAUUCCUUGUUCAGAGAGUUCCUCUUUACAGGCCUGGGCUCAUCUGUCUGGUAUCCCAGGAGUUUUAUGGAUGGCUUAGCUUAUUGAUGUAGGGAAACUGCCUGGGCUUGGUCCCUGUCUAAAAGACAUAAAGACUGUCUACAUCAGAAGCAGGGGUGUGACCAUUGUGAAUAGACUGAGCUGGGUGGCUUCUCCUGCUCUUAGAUCAAAAGGUGGACCUUAGACCACAAGCUACUUGGAAAAAAUACAUACCUUGGAAAGAAAGAAAAUACCUCAUUCUCAUGUAGCUGCUAAUGUAUUACAAAACACUUCUACAUGAAUGCUCCAAAUCCUCGAAAUCUGCUGGGGAGAGUGGUUUGGUUGUCCUCUCUAUUCAGAGGAGGACAGAGAGGUUUAGAAAUGAUAAGUGCAUUGUCUAAGGUUAUGCAGCUAGUGAAGAGUGGAGCAAGGGUAAAAACCCAGUAUCACGGCCCUCAAACUCCUCAUUGCAUGAACUAGAGCACCACUUCUCAAAACCUUAAUGUGGAAAAUUUUGCUUGGCAACCUUGUUAAGGCUGUAAGUAUAUUCCUCAUAAGCUCUCUGAACUGGCAUGGGUACUGCUGACCGACUGUCACAUGCAGAUGUCACACUCAGACCAUGGUGACUUCCAGCGGGCUCUCACAGUGUCUGUCAGGCCGCAGAACCCAAGCAGCUAGUGCCCCCCUCAGACCCUCUGCUUGCUCUCGUCUCUGUCAUCCUGUGCAUGGACUACCUUUCCAAUGUGGAGCUGUUCUCUUGUUAAAAAAAAAAAGAAAAGAAAAGAAAAAGAAAGAAAGAAAGAAAAGAAAAAAAAGAAAAAGAAAGAGGUACAAAUGGAGAAGACGACUUUUUCUUCCGUCAGUACCAUUUUCCCCCUGAAAGCACAGCAUCACCUCACAGAAGCCUCUCAGGAACAUGAAGACGAGGAACGAGAGUAAAUCACACAGAAAGCAACUCACCGGGCACGAUCCAGGCUGGUUCCACAGAGACUUCUUUCUUUUAAACUGGGAAUGUGGAUUUUGAAGACAUGAACAUCCCCUGGGAAUGUCCUGAGAGGAGAAGCCUCUGCCUCAAAUGAAAGAGUCUCCAUCUCUUCUUUGGGAUACCUAUGGACCUGAGAUUCUGAGAUUUGAUUAGAAUCAAUUCAGCAUCUAUUGUUAAAAGAUCACAACAGCCAGUGGAUGAUGAUGAUGGUGGUGGUGGUGGUGGUGGUGCGGUGUGUGUGUGUGUGUGUGUGUGUGUGUGUGUGUGUGUGUGUGACUGCUUAAGACUCCUCUGUGUUCCUUUAACCCUUGGUGUCUCUUAGAGACAGGCAGCAUUUCCCUACUUUAGAUGAAGAGGCUCAGAGAACGUAGGUAGUGAACAGCCAAGUGUGAAUUGAAAUCCUUACUUCCCCCACUCCACCCCUCAUCUAGGUUCUCAGUUUCUUGGCUGGGCUUCAUUGAGAGGUAUUCAAAGGAACGUGCUUUGUAGAACAGAAAAGGAAGAGAUUGUUCGACUACUGUAGAACUGUUUUUUUAUUUUUAAAAAAUUGCCCUAUAUAAAACCUAUAUCAACCCUUUGAACUAGGUGGACUCUCUCCACUUUAGAGGUAAAGACAUGGGGGGAAAGAUCCAGCAAGUUUCCUCACAUUUCACAGUUGAGAAUCGGCAGAGUCAAGACAUGUCUGAGCCCUAAGCCUCAGGCUCUUCUGCAUCCUCAAGGGGACUUUCUGGGAGCAGCCGUGGCACAGACAGUGUGAUGCUGUGGUGCUGUGAGGGAGCCGGGGCUUGAGGCUUUGUCUUUCUGGUAUAUGCUUCUGUCCUCUAGCCCCACAGGACAGAUGACCCAGGUGUGUGAACUUGCGUGGGGGAGGAGAGUGUGCGUCUCUGUGAGGGUGAUGUUUGCUCCCAUGACUCACGCUCUACCGUGCUGGAUGGGAUAGCUACACGGUGGUAUUCUCUGUCCCCUAUUAGCAAAAACACAAAUGGCAAACUCUAAACCACUCUGUGUUGCCACUGACCAUUUCCUAAGGGUGGCGGCAGUGUCUGUGUGGUCACUGGCCGUGAGGACCUGCUGCUGACACAUGGCAGAUGGGACCAAAGCCACCCCAGCUUGCUGGAAUCUGCUCUUACUGUUUGGAACGCUGUCCCUUCCUUCUGCAAACAUCAAAUGGAGGCCAUUCAUUAAGACCGUUUGUUUAACCAAGAUGACCAGAUGGGCUGUGGGAAACAGGGGCACUUCAAUGCCCGGGGAAGUGUAAUAUACGUAAGAGUUUCCUGGUGACCCUGACACUGUCCCCGACUGUUUGGAGUGGAUGGUACAGAUGGAGCAAGUAGGACUGUGGUUUUGCCCUGUGCAUGGGGUCGGAAUUUUGCAAGAUCCCAUGAAAAUGUCAAAGACCUAAUGAAAAACAAGCCAAAUAUUA